CCCAGAGGGAGGCCUUGUAGAGUGAGACAGAGGAGAAGUCAGAUCCCAGUAGACCACAGCAGUGGAUGGGGCGGAGUUGGGAGAAGGCACCCUGAGCCUUUCCCAGCCUUGCUUUGAUGUGUUUUGAUGCUUCGCUGUCCUUACUGAUGAGACUGCCCAGAUAGGUGAAAUCCUCAAGUGGUUCCUCACUAACAAGAAUGGGUGCUCUGGGCGUAUGGGAACACAAUGAAGUGAUGGCACCAAGGGAUCUGAUAUGACCAUUUUCAUUCCUGGUUCAGAAGUUAUUUAGUUGUCACAUUCAUCGUGAUUGUGUUGGAGUUUAGUAACUGUGACAACCCCUCUUUUCUUUUUUACAGUGUAUGUACUUACCAAGGUUUACGUAAUUUACACUUUCCAACUUGGGCAACAAUUAAACUUCUGGCAAUGUUUGAGAACUCUGUUUGCUG